AAUAGAUACCCCGGUAGUCCACGCCGUAAACGAUGAGUGCUAAGUGUUAGAGGGUUUCCGCCCUUUAGUGCUGAAGUUAACGCAUUAAGCACUCCGCCUGGGGAGUACGGUCGCAAGACUGAAACUCAAAGGAAUUGACGGGGGCCCGCACAAGCGGUGGAGCAUGUGGUUUAAUUCGAAGCAACGCGAAGAACCUUACCAGGUCUUGACAUCCUCUGACAACCCUAGAGAUAGGGCUUUCCCUUCGGGGACAGAGUGACAGGUGGUGCAUGGUUGUCGUCAGCUCGUGUCGUGAGAUGUUGGGUUAAGUCCCGCAACGAGCGCAACCCUUGAUCUUAGUUGCCAGCAUUUAGUUGGGCACUCUAAGGUGACUGCCGGUGACAAACCGGAGGAAGGUGGGGAUGACGUCAAAUCAUCAUGCCCCUUAUGACCUGGGCUACACACGUGCUACAAUGGACGGUACAAAGAGUCGCGAGACCGCGAGGUGGAGCUAAUCUCAUAAAACCGUUCUCAGUUCGGAUUGUAGGCUGCAACUCGCCUA
rnacentral:rRNA from 1 species